CAGUCGCCGCGGUAAUACGGAGGGCGCGAGCGUUACCCGGAUUUACUGGGCGUAAAGGGCGUGUAGGCGGCCUGGGGCGUCCCAUGUGAAAGGCCACGGCUCAACCGUGGAGGAGCGUGGGAUACGCUCAGGCUAGAGGGUGGGAGAGGGUGGUGGAAUUCCCGGAGUAGCGGUGAAAUGCGCAGAUACCGGGAGGAACGCCGAUGGCGAAGGCAGCCACCUGGUCCACUUCUGACGCUGAGGCGCGAAAGCGUGGGGAGCAAACCGGAUUAGAUACCCCAGUAGUCCCUGUCUCUUAUAC
rnacentral:rRNA from 1 species